rnacentral:rRNA from 1 species
AAUUUUGGACAAUGGGGGCAACCCUGAUCCAGCCAUCCCGCGUGUAUGAUGAAGGCCUUCGGGUUGUAAAGUACUUUUGGCAGAGAAGAAAAGGUAUCUCUUAAUACGAGAUACUGCUGACGGUAUCUGCAGAAUAAGCACCGGCUAACUACGUGCCAGCAGCCGCGGUAAUACGUAGGGUGCAAGCGUUAAUCGGAAUUACUGGGCGUAAAGCGUGUGUAGGCGGUAAGGAAAGAAAGAUGUGAAAGCCAAGGGCUCAACCUUGGAACUGCAUUUUUAACUGCCGGGCUAGAGUAUGGCAGAGGGAGGUAGAAUUCCACGUGUAGCAGUGAAAUGCGUAGAUAUGUGGAGGAAUACCGUUGGCGAAGGCAGCCCCCUGGGAUAAUACUGACGCUCAGACACGAAAGCGUGGGGAGCAAACA